rnacentral:tRNA from 1 species
GGGCAAGUGGCGGAACUGGCAGACGCGCCGGCCUUAGGAGCCGGUGGGGCAACCCGUGCGGGUUCGAGUCCCGCCUUGCCCACCA